UACGGAGGGGGCUAGCGUUGUUCGGAAUUACUGGGCGUAAAGCGCACGUAGGCGGCUUUGCAAGUUAGAGGUGAAAGCCCGGGGCUCAACUCCGGAACUGCCUUUAAAACUGCAUCGCUAGAAUUGUGGAGAGGUAAGUGGAAUUCCGAGUGUAGAGGUGAAAUUCGUAGAUAUUCGGAAGAACACCAGUGGCGAAGGCGACUUACUGGACACAUAUUGACGCUGAGGUGCGAAAGCGUGGGGAGCAAACAGGG
rnacentral:rRNA from 1 species